GUUGCUCUCAGCUUCCUGUUUGUGGUCGUGAAGUGAACGCAGCUUCCUGCUCUUGCUGCCAGGCCUCUCCUUCAAGACAGACCCUUAUCUCUCUGGAACCGGUCUCGCCAUAUAGUUCUGUCGGGAGAGCAGGCUGGCCAUCAGCUUGCAGCAAUCCUCUUGUCUCUGCCUCUGGAGGACCUGGGUUACCACACUUAGCUAGAAGUCUUUAUUGGUAUGGAUGCUUCCAUCUGUGCACUGGGAGGAGAGGAGCUGGGAUCCUGAAAGUCCCUGAAAUUAAGAACAAAGAUUUAGGUUGAUCAUACUACUUAGGCUGAAAUCCGAUUACAAUGUGAAGCCCUGCUCAGAAUUAGGCCAGUCAAUCCGGAAAAGAACAGCAAAAGUAGCUUCCUUGCUCUUCACAGUCAGAGGGAGCAUGGAUCCUGGGCCUCCACAUGGUUUCCAGCAUCAGCACAGAUCCUCCGCCUGGUCUCCAGUGGCAUCACCAAUCACAGACAUAACACAGCCUCUGCCGAAGCCUGGGCUCCAGACACCAUCAUAGCCCUUGAGG
rnacentral:lncRNA from 1 species